UACAGAAGUGGCAAGCGUUGUUCGGAAUUACUGGGCGUAAAGGGCGCGUAGGCGGCCUUCUAAGUCAGACGUGAAAUCCCCAGGCUUAACUUGGGAACUGCGUCUGAUACUGGGAGGCUUGAGUGCGGGAGAGGGAUGUGGAAUUCCAGGUGUAGCGGUGAAAUGCGCAGAUAUCAGGAGGAACACCAAUGGCGAAGGCAGCUCGCUGGGCCAUAACUGACGCUGAGAAGCGAAAGCAUGGGGAGCGAACAGG
rnacentral:rRNA from 1 species